GGGGUACUGUAAGUGGUAGAGUAGCCUUGUUGCUACGAUCCACUGAGGUUAAGCCCUUGUUCUAAAGAUUUGUUCAACUUUGUUGGACUUUCUCUUUUCUUUUUACAUGCUGAAACCUUGAGGGCCGGGAUAGUAUCCUUUGUGCACUCGCGACAGCAUGUUACUUGCGUUCGAACGGGUAAGCUAACAACCCCUUGGUGUUUUUGUUACCUUUCUCGUUUGAAUCAUGAGUUAUUAUGAGCCUUGAAGGCUUAGAAGGAACUUGGUUAGCAAGCUCUAAACGCGCGCUGACUUGGAACGGUCUUUACCUUGUACUUGAUAUCGACCUUAUGGCCGAUAUCCCGCAUAUGGUAUAGCCAAGAUCCUUGAAAGAGCGAGUUAAUGAGUGAUUUGCUGGAUCGUUAGUGAGCUUGAAUGCCUGCCCUAAGGUUGCCAUGAAUGAAAUGGCCUUAGGAGCUAAGUAAGCUAAGCUACGGUUACCUUUCUAGCCGUUGUAACCGUUUACUUAGCUUCUAGGGCUACGUUCAAACUUUGAACGGCAACUGGUCCUGAAUCGAAAGGUUUGCUAUGUAAACCUUUAGUCAAGACCUGUUUGCAACAAAUUUGGUGGCUGCAGGGCGAGUUUUCAUUGAUUUGGCCUAUAGCGAAAGUUGGU
rnacentral:misc_RNA from 1 species